GAUGAUCUCAGCAUUACUACGCCUGCCCCCUGCAGGAUCCACCCCUCUAGUGAUGUCUCUGAUGAGCGCCCUCUGUGUGUCGAGCGCGGUAGCGUGUAUAUGCGCGGCGCUCGUGCGAAGGGUCGCGAAGUUCCGCGUCUCACCGCCAGGUGUCAUUAGGAGUGUUUUGUUGGCCGCUUCCGGAGUUUUUAAACUCACUCCGGAUGAGGGCUCCGGGCAGGCGGCGGAGAGCGGCGCGUGGGCGGCGGCGGCGCUGCUGCUGGACCGGCUGCUCAGCGCCGCGCUGCUGUUCACGCUGUUCGUUAUUGUCUGUGUGUAUGUCUCUAGUUAACGUUUCCAGACUGCUUAUUAAUAAAUAGAAGUAGUUUUGUAAAGUUGCA